AGAGUUUGAUCCUGGCUCAGGAUGAACGCUGGCGGCGUGCCUAAUACAUGCAAGUCGAGCGAACGGACGAGAAGCUUGCUUCUCUGAUGUUAGCGGCGGACGGGUGAGUAACACGUGGAUAACCUACCUAUAAGACUGGGAUGACUUCGGGAAACCGUAGCUAAUACCGGAUAAUAUUUUGAACCGCAUGGUUCAAAAGUGAAAGACGGUCUUGCUGUCACUUAUAGAUGGAUCCGCGCUGCAUUAGCUAGUUGGUAAGGUAACGGCUUACCAAGGCAACGAUGCAUAGCCGACCUGAGAGGGUGAUCGGCCACACUGGAACUGAGACACGGUCCAGACUCCUACGGGAGGCAGCAGUAGGGAAUCUUCCGCAAUGGGCGAAAGCCUGACGGAGCAACGCCGCGUGAGUGAUGAAGGUCUUCGGAUCGUAAAACUCUGUUAUUAGGGAAGAACAUAUGUGUAAGUAACUGUGCACAUCUUGACGGUACCUAAUCAGAAAGCCACGGCUAACUACGUGCCAGCAGCCGCGGUAAUACGUAGGUGGCAAGCGUUAUCCGGAAUUAUUGGGCGUAAAGCGCGCGUAGGCGGUUUUUUAAGUCUGAUGUGAAAGCCCACGGCUCAACCGUGGAGGGUCAUUGGAAACUGGAAAACUUGAGUGCAGAAGAGGAAAGUGGAAUUCCAUGUGUAGCGGUGAAAUGCGCAGAGAUAUGGAGGAACACCAGUGGCGAAGGCGACUUUCUGGUCUGUAACUGACGCUGAUGUGCGAAAGCGUGGGGAUCAAACAGGAUUAGAUACCCUGGUAGUCCACGCCGUAAACGAUGAGUGCUAAGUGUUAGGGGGUUUCCGCCCCUUAGUGCUGCAGCUAACGCAUUAAGCACUCCGCCUGGGGAGUACGACCGCAAGGUUGAAACUCAAAGGAAUUGACGGGGACCCGCACAAGCGGUGGAGCAUGUGGUUUAAUUCGAAGCAACGCGAAGAACCUUACCAAAUCUUGACAUCCUUUGACAACUCUAGAGAUAGAGCCUUCCCCUUCGGGGGACAAAGUGACAGGUGGUGCAUGGUUGUCGUCAGCUCGUGUCGUGAGAUGUUGGGUUAAGUCCCGCAACGAGCGCAACCCUUAAGCUUAGUUGCCAUCAUUAAGUUGGGCACUCUAAGUUGACUGCCGGUGACAAACCGGAGGAAGGUGGGGAUGACGUCAAAUCAUCAUGCCCCUUAUGAUUUGGGCUACACACGUGCUACAAUGGACAAUACAAAGGGCAGCGAAACCGCGAGGUCAAGCAAAUCCCAUAAAGUUGUUCUCAGUUCGGAUUGUAGUCUGCAACUCGACUACAUGAAGCUGGAAUCGCUAGUAAUCGUAGAUCAGCAUGCUACGGUGAAUACGUUCCCGGGUCUUGUACACACCGCCCGUCACACCACGAGAGUUUGUAACACCCGAAGCCGGUGGAGUAACCUUUUAGGAGCUAGCCGUCGAAGGUGGGACAAAUGAUUGGGGUGAAGUCGUAACAAGGUAGCCGUAUCGGAAGGUGCGGCUGGAUCACCU
rnacentral:rRNA from 2 species